UUUCACGAUGUCUUUUUCAAAACUCCGAUUCUUUUUUCUGCUCUUUCUCUUAUCUCAUCACGUAGCAUGAUAAGCUCAUUGUUGAUUGGUCGACCUUUAUUGAUAACCGUAUGAGUCACAUACUGCGAUUGACAACCUUAUCGGCGAGAGUAAGCGUAAUAAUUGCAUUAAAUCAGCAUACGGGAUUAUAUACAGACAACGCAGGGGAUAAUUUUCCAAAACGACUCGACCAUUGCGGAUUUCCGACUUCCGUUUUGUGAGCGAACACGUUGGGAUUUCAUUGUCGUGAACUAAACGCUACUGUACCAAACUAGUUUAACUCAUCAUCGCCAUAACACUUUGAUAACCUUGAAUACCGACGAAAUACCAAAACAUAUUAUUUCAAACCAGACCCUGGAAGAGCAGAGACGUACAGGAGGGGAAAAAGUAGAAGUGGAAACCACCUCGACCAUAACAUGGCUAACUUUAGACAGUUUACUUUCGAUAAUACGUUACGUAUGUGUGCUUACGAGUACCUAUAAUAACUCUCCUCUCUUAUUCGUUACAUUGUUGUAAACAUCUCAUCCUAUUUUAAUUCGCGAAUAGUGAAUUUGCUA